rnacentral:rRNA from 1 species
UACAGGGGGGGCAAGCGUUGUUCGGAAUUACUGGGCGUAAAGGGCGCGUAGGCGGCCAACUAAGUCCGACGUGAAAUCCCCAGGCUUAACCUGGGAACUGCGUCGGAUACUGGAUGGCUUGAAUUCGGGAGAGGGAUGCGGAAUUCCAGGUGUAGCGGUGAAAUGCGUAGAUAUCAGGAGGAACACCGGUGGCGAAGGCGCACACCUGGCCCGAUACUGACGCUGAGGCGCGAAAGCUAGGGGAGCAAACGGG